rnacentral:rRNA from 1 species
UACGUAGGGUGCGAGCGUUAAUCGGAAUUACUGGGCGUAAAGCGUGCGCAGGCGGUUUUUGUAAGCCAGAUGUGAAAUCCCCGGGCUUAACCUGGGAAUGGCAUUUGGGACUGCAAGGCUCGAGUGCGGCAGAGGAGACUGGAAUUCCUGGUGUAGCGGUGAAAUGCGCAGAUAUCAAGUGGAACACCAGUGGCGAAGGCGAAUCCCUGGAAAAUACCUGACACUGAGGCACGAAAGCUAGGGGAGCAAACAGG